rnacentral:rRNA from 1 species
UGAGGAAUAUUGGUCAAUGGGCGAGAGCCUGAACCAGCCAAGUAGCGUGCAGGAUGACGGCCCUCCGGGUUGUAAACUGCUUUUAGUUGGGAAUAAAAAAAGGGACUUGUCCCUUCUUGUAUGUACCUUCAGAAAAAGGACCGGCUAAUUCCGUGCCAGCAGCCGCGGUAAUACGGAAGGUCCAGGCGUUAUCCGGAUUUAUUGGGUUUAAAGGGAGCGUAGGCGGAUUGUUAAGUCAGCGGUUAAAGGGUGUGGCUCAACCAUGCAUUGCCGUUGAAACUGGCGAUCUUGAGUGCAGACAGGGAUGCCGGAAUUCGUGGUGUAGCGGUGAAAUGCUUAGAUAUCACGAAGAACUCCGAUCGCGAAGGCAGGUGUCCGGGCUGCAACUGACGCUGAGGCUCGAAAGUGUGGGUAUCAAACAGGAUUAGAUACCCUGGUAGUCCACACAGUAAACGAUGUAUACUCGCGGUUUGCGAUAGACAGUAAGCCGCCAAGCGAAAGCAUUAAGUAUACCACCUGGGGAGUACGCCGGCNACGGUG